rnacentral:lncRNA from 1 species
AUAUGGUAAGGGCUACCGGUAUCCAAUACCCAGUCAGUUAUAUCACAAAUAGAGAAAUUGCAAUGAGUUAUCAUAUAAAUACCUUGCCCAGCAACAGCUUGCUUCUUUCUCUACCUGUUCGGGUCCAGGGAGGCAAUGUACUGAGGACAGUUUCUCUUCCAGUGCCCCCACUUCUUGCAAAAGAAGCAUUCAGUUUGACUCUUAUCAGGCU